AAAUACCAGCAAUGGUAAUUUUAUGAUAUUGGGAGUACCCAUUUUUAAGAAUAUAAAGUGCAUCUUGCCUUACACGUAGCCCUAAUACCUAAAAAGUAGGGCCGGGAAAAUUAAUCUAAUUACAGUUUUUCUCAGUCGCUUUGGUACAUUUCUCAGAUCAGAACUGAAAUUCUCAAAACUACCUGUUCAAUCUUCACAUCAUUGUGUCACUUGUGCACAUCAAAAGAGCAGUUUCUCAUUUCUUUGAGCAAGUUGCAAAUGCUUUGGUACAUCCAUGCAAAUGAUUAUGUACAAUUCUCUUCUGUUUCCUACAUUAUCAAUUGCUUAUGUCAUGUUGAUCAAAAUGUAUUAUCAUGGGUCUCUGUUGAAUAGUCUCACCACCCACAACAUUUAGGCAUUAGUUCAUAGCAUAAGUCUUUACAUGCAAAAUGGUUGAACACGUUGUCAUAACAUGUCAAGCAUAUUUCUAUACAUUUCCAUGAUACUUUUUUUCUAAGUCUGUCCUGAAUUGGUAAAUUGCUCCCAGGUGAAUCUUGACUUUCUCAAACGAAUCAAUCAACUGGCAUGUAUAUACGUAUAUAGCCGGAGCACAACACAGUGUUACAAUUUCUGAAAAUGGACGGACAAGGAAUUGGACGGGGUCAACAGCCAGCGAGAAGAAGAAGAAGAGGAGUGAGGCUGCGUGGCGGAGGACUUAGGAGGCAAAAUAGAGGAGGAGGCAGAAGAGGCCGAGGACAUAUGCGUGUUCCUGAUGAAAUAAGAGCCACACUUGUAGACCAUGUUGUCAAUCAUGGGCUUACAAUGGCCGAGGCUGGUCGAAGGGUGCAGCCAAAUGUUGGGAGGACAACUGUAUCCUCAAUCAUUCAGACUUUUCGUCAACAGAACCGGACUGCAAGACAGCUUCACAGGGGUGGCAGAGGGCCCCUUUUCACACCCGAAUGCAGUGCUGUCUUUUCUUUUCUUUAUCAGGAAAAAAAUAAAAGCGUAAAUGUGAAUCUUGUCCAGUCUCUUUCAAACUCCACAUACACUAAGGUGUAACCUACAAUUUACAAUAAUUGUCAUCAAAACUUUAGCCAUAGUUUACAUCAGAACAUCCCUCCAGAGUACACUGUUAUAU